AGUGAACGCUGGCGGUAGGCCUAACACAUGCAAGUCGAACGGCAGCACAGGAGAGCUUGCUCUCUGGGUGGCGAGUGGCGGACGGGUGAGGAAUACAUCGGAAUCUACUUUUUCGUGGGGGAUAACGUAGGGAAACUUACGCUAAUACCGCAUACGACCUACGGGUGAAUGCAGGGGACCUUCGGGCCUUGCGCGAUUGAAUGAGCCGAUGUCGGAUUAGCUAGUUGGCGGGGUAAAGGCCCACCAAGGCGACGAUCCGUAGCUGGUCUGAGAGGAUGAUCAGCCACACUGGAACUGAGACACGGUCCAGACUCCUACGGGAGGCAGCAGUGGGGAAUAUUGGACAAUGGGCGCAAGCCUGAUCCAGCCAUACCGCGUAGGUGAAGAAGGCCUUCGGGUUGUAGAGCCAUUUUGUUGGGAAAGAAAUCCAGCUGGCUAAUACCCGGUUGGGAUGACGGUACCCAAAGAAUAAGCACCGGCUAACUCCGUGCCAGCCGCCGCCGUAA
rnacentral:rRNA from 1 species